AUUGAACGCUGGCGGCAGGCCUAACACAUGCAAGUCGAACGAGUGGCGGACGGGUGAGUAAUGUCUGGGAAACUGCCUGAUGGAGGGGGAUAACUACUGGAAACGGUAGCUAAUACCGCAUACCAUCGGAUGUGCCCAGAUGGGAUUCGCUAGUAGGUGGGGUAACGGCUCACCUAGGCGAAGAUCCCUAGCUGGUCUGAGGGGAUGACGAGCCACACGGGAACUGAGACACGGUCCAGACUCGUACGGGAGGCAGCAUUGGGGAGUAUUGCACAAUGGGCGCAAGCCUGAUGCAGCCAGGCCGCGUGUAGGAAGAGGGCCUUCGGGUUGUAAAGUACUUUCAGCGGGGAGGCGUUACCCGCAGAAGAAGCACCGGCUAACUCCGUGCCAGCAGCCGCGGUAAUAC
rnacentral:rRNA from 1 species